rnacentral:rRNA from 1 species
AUAUUGGUCAGGGCGAAUACAGCGCACCACGGUUGGGAUUGCCUUGGCGGGUUCAGAAGGGCGAUUGAAGGACGUGGCAGCCUGCGAAAAGUGAGUCGGGAAGCUGGCAGACAAGCUUUGAUCCGGUAAGGUCCGAAUGGGGAAACCCACCCGCUUGCGGGUAUCCUGCAGUGGAGAUACAUAGCUGCUGGAAGCGGAACCUGGUGAACUGGAAAUAAUCUUAAGUACCAGAGGAAAGAAGCAACCGAGUUCCGUAAGUAGGCGCGGAGGCGAACGCGGACUAGCCCUUUAAGCUGAUUUGGUUCUAGGAAAACACUCUGGAAAAGAGGGGCCAUAGAAGGUGAUAGCCCUGUAUUCUGAAAGGGCCAUUUCAGUGAAGACGAGUAGGGCGGGGCACGUGAAACCCUGUCUGAACAAUGGGGGGACCAUCCUCCAAGGCUAAAUACUACUGACCGACCGAUAGUGAACCAGUACCGUGAGGGAAAGGCGAAAAGAACCCCGGAGAGGGGAGUGAAAAUAGAACCUGAAACGGUGUGCGUACAAAGCAGUAGGAGCUCCGCAAGAGUGACUGCGUACCCUUUUGUAUAAUGGGUCAGCGACUUACUGUUCGUGGCAAGCUUAACCGGUAUAGGGGAGGCGAAGGGAAACCGAGUCUGAUAAGGGCGCAUAGUCGCGGGCAGUAGACCCGAAACCGGGGUGAUCUAGUCAUGGCCCAGGGUGAAGGUGCGGUAACACGCACUGGAGGCCCGAACCCACUCCCGUUGCAAAGGUAGGGGGAUGAGGUGUGAUUAGGAGUGAAAAGCUAAUCGAACCCCGGAGAUAGCUGGUUCUCCUCGAAAGCUAUUUAGGUAGCGCCUCAUAUGUAUCUCUCUCGGGGUAGAGCACUGUUAUGGCUAGGGGGUCAUCGCGACUUACCAAACCAUUGCAAAAACUCCGAAUACCGAGACGGACUGUAUGGGAGACACACGGGCGGGUGCUAACGUCCGCGUGAAAAGGGAAACAACCCAGACCACAGCUAAGGUCCCCAAAUUCACUGCUAAGUGGAAAACCAUGUGAAAGGCACAGACAGGCCAGGAGGUUGGCUUAGAAGCAGCCACCCUUUAAAGAAAGCGUAAUAGCUCACUGGUCGAGUCGGUCUGCGGGGAAGAUUUAACGGGGCUAAGCAGUGAACCGAAGCUUGGUGUGCAUACUUUGUAUGCGCGUAGAGGAGCGUUCCGUACGCCGUUGAAGGUGGAUUGAGAAGUCUGCUGGAGGUAUUCGGAAGUGCGAAUGCUGACAUUGAGUAACGGAUAAUGCGGUGAAACAACCCGCACGCCGAAAAGCCCAAGGUUUCCUUGCGCAACGUUUAAUCGGCGCAGGGUGAGUCGGCCCCUAAGGCGAGGACGAAAGUGCGGUCGGAUGGGAAGGCCAGGUUAAUAUUCCUGCACCUCGCGUAAGUGCGGAUGGAGGGACGGAGGAAGGUUAGGUGUACCAGGCGUUGGUUGUCCUGGGGAAAGGCGGUAGGUUUGGAUCUUUGGCAAAUCCGGGAUCCUCUAAGACCGAGCACCGAGACGAGCCUUUAAGGCGAAGUCACUGAUACCACGCUUCCAGGAAAAGCUCCUAAGCUUCAGCUUACGCAGACCGUACCGUAAACCGACACAGGUGGGUAGGAUGAGAAUUCUCAGGCGCUUGAGAGAACUCGGGUGAAGGAACUAGGCAACAUGGCACCGUAACUUCGGGAGAAGGUGCACCCUUUUUGGUGGCUCGUGCGAGCUAUAGCUGAAGAGGGUCGCAGUAACCAGGCCGCUGCGACUGUUUAUCAAAAACACAGCACUCUGCAAACACGAAAGUGGACGUAUAGGGUGUGACGCCUGCCCGGUGCUGGAAGGUUAAUUGAUGGGGUCAGCCGCAAGGCGAAGCUCUUGAUCGAAGCCCCAGUAAACGGCGGCCGUAACUAUAACGGUCCUAAGGUAGCGAAAUUCCUUGUCGGGUAAGUUCCGACCUGCACGAAUGGCGUAACGACAGCGGCGCUGUCUCCACCCGAGACUCAGUGAAAUUGAAAUCGCUGUGAAGAUGCAGCGUUCCCGUGGCAAGACGGAAAGACCCCGUGAACCUUUACUAUAGCUUUACACUGAACGUUGAGUUCGUCUGUGUAGGAUAGGUGGGAGGCUAUGAAACUGUGGCGCUAGCUGCAGCGGAGCCAUCCUUGAAAUACCACCCUGUCGUGCUUGACGUUCUAACCUGGGCCCAUUAUCUGGGUCGGGGACCGUGUAUGGUGGGUAGUUUGACUGGGGCGGUCUCCUCCUAAAGAGUAACGGAGGAGCUCGAAGGUACGCUCAGCGCGGUCGGACAUCGCGCACUGUGUGCAAAGGCAUAAGCGUGCUUGACUGCAAGAUCGACGGAUCAAGCAGGUAGGAAACUAGGACUUAGUGAUCCGGUGGUUCUGUAUGGAAGGGCCAUCGCUCAACGGAUAAAAGGUACUCCGGGGAUAACAGGCUGAUACCGCCCAAGAGUUCAUAUCGACGGCGGUGUUUGGCACCUCGAUGUCGGCUCAUCACAUCCUGGGGCUGUAGUCGGUCCCAAGGGUAUGGCUGUUCGCCAUUUAAAGUGGUACGCGAGCUGGGUUCAGAACGUCGUGAGACAGUUCGGUCCCUAUCUGCCAUGGGCGUUGGAGAUUUGAGAGGGGCUGCUCCUAGUACGAGAGGACCGGAGUGGACGAACCUCUGGUGUUCCGGUUGUCACGCCAGUGGCAUUGCCGGGUAGCUAUGUUCGGAAGCGAUAACCGCUGAAAGCAUCUAAGCGGGAAGCGCGCCUCAAGAUGAGAUCUCCCGGGGCACAAGCCCCCUGAAGGAACCAUGUAGACUACGUGGUUGAUAGGUCAGGUGUGUAAGUACAGCAAUGUAUUGAGCUAACUGAUACUAAUGAUCCGUGCGGCUUGACCAUAUAACCU